rnacentral:rRNA from 1 species
AGGAUUAACGCUGGCGGCGUGCCUAACACAUGCAAGUCGAACGAGGUAGCAAUACCUAGUGGCAGACGGGUGAGUAACACGUGGUCAACCUACCCUCAAGUGGGGGAUAACUAGCCGAAAGGUUAGCUAAUACCGCAUGAAACGUGCCGGGGCAUCCCGGAACGUUAAAAGGAGCAAUCCGCUCGAGGACGGGACCGCGCCCGAUUAGCUAGUUGGUGGGGUAAUGGCCUACCAAGGCUCCGAUCGGUAGCUGGUUUGAGAGAGCGACCAGCCACACUGGGACUGAGAAACGGCCCAGACUCCUACGGGAGGCAGCAGUGAGGAAUUUUCCGCAAUGGGCGAAAGCCUGACGGAGCGACGCCGUGUGUGGGAUGAAGGCCUUCGGGUCGUAAACCACUGUCGAAGGGGAAUAUACUGAAGGUACCCUUGGAGGAAGCCCGGCUAACUACGUGCCAGCAGCCGC